rnacentral:sRNA from 1 species
UUUUUGAAUCUGCGGAGGCGGAGGCGGCGGCGGUGGCGGCGGCGGUGGCGGCGGUGGCAGCGGCGGCGCGGCGACUGAAGCGCGCGAAAAGCUGAGGCGGCAACGUCGGGGACGACUGCGCGGGACGGCUCUGUAGGAAGGAACUUGGUUCCCCCUCCCUCAGCUUCCGCCCCAAAAGAUUCAGAAUGGACAGUUUAGAAGAACCUCAGAAAAAAGUCUUUAAGGCUCGAAAAACGAUGAGAGUGAGUGAUCGUCAGCAACUUGAAGCAGUGUACAAGGUCAAAGAAGAACUGUUGAAAACUGAUGUCAAGCUGUUAAAUGGCAACCAUGAAAAUGGAGAUUUGGACCCAACCUCACCUUUGGAAAACAUGGAUUACAUUAAAGACAAGGAAGAGGUGAAUGGCAUUGAAGAGAUUUGUUUUGAUCCUGAAGGAAGUAAAGCAGAAUGGAAGGAAACACCCUGUAUCCUAAGUGUUAAUGUAAAAAACAAGCAGGAUGAUGAUUUAAAUUGUGAACCUUUGUCUCCCCAUAAUAUAACUCCAGAACCAGUCUCUAAACUGCCUGCUGAACCAGUUUCUGGUGAUCCAGCCCCUGGUGAUCUGGAUGCCGGAGAUCCAGCCUCCGGAGUACUGGCCUCUGGUGAUUCCACCUCUGGUGAUCCCACCUCUAGCGAGCCCUCCUCUAGUGAUGCUGCCUCUGGUGAUGCAACCUCUGGUGAUGCCCCUUCUGGUGAUGUGUCCCCUGGUGAUGCCACCUCUGGUGAUGCCACUGCUGAUGAUCUCUCCUCUGGUGAUCCCACCUCUAGUGAUCCCAUCCCAGGUGAACCGGUCCCUGUUGAACCCAUUUCUGGUGAUUGUGCCGCUGAUGAUAUAGCCUCUAGUGAAAUAACUUCUGUUGAUCUGGCUUCUGGAGCACCAGCUUCCACUGAUCCAGCCUCUGAUGAUCUGGCCUCUGGUGAUCUAUCCUCUAGUGAACUGGCCUCUGAUGAUCUGGCCACUGGUGAACUGGCCUCUGAUGAGCUGACUUCUGAAUCAACCUUUGAUCGUACCUUUGAACCAAAGUCUGUACCACUUUGUGAACCAGUUCCUGAAAUUGACAAUAUAGAACCAAGUAGCAAUAAAGAUGAUGAUUUUCUUGAAAAAAAUGGAGCUGAUGAAAAAUUAGAGCAAAUUCAGAGUAAAGACUCAUUGGAUGAGAAAAAUAAAACUGAUAAUAAUAUUGAUGCUAAUGAAGAAACUCUAGAAACAGAUGAUACAACUAUUUGUUCAGAUCGACCUCCUGAAAAUGAAAAGAAGGUAGAGGAAGAUACUAUCACAGAGCUUGCUCUUGGAGAAGAUGCUAUAUCUAGCAGUAUGGAAAUUGACCAAGGUGAAAAGAAUGAAGAUGAAACUUCUGCAGAUCAUGUAGAAACGAUUAAUGAAAAUGUUAUUGAAGAUGACAAAAGUGAGAAUAUCUUAGAAAAUACAGACUCUAUGGAGACAGAUGAAAUCAUUCCUAUUUUGGAAAAGCUUGCACCUUCUGAGGAUGAACUUACUUGCUUUUCUAAAACAUCUCUCCUUCCAAUCGAUGAGACAAAUCCAGAUUUGGAAGAGAAAAUGGAAAGUUCUUUUGGUUCACCAUCUAAACAAGAAAGUAGUGAGAGUUUGCCAAAAGAAGCCUUUCUGGUCCUCUCUGAUGAAGAGGAUAUUUCGGGUGAAAAAGAUGAGUCUGAAGUUAUAUCGCAAAAUGAAACGUGCUCUCCAGCAGAAGUAGAAAGUAAUGAAAAGGACAACAAACCUAAGGAAGAAGAGCAAGUAAUACAUGAAGAUGAUGAAAGACCUUCUGAGAAAAAUGAAUUUUCUAGACGAAAACGUUCUAAAUCAGAAGACAUGGACAAUGUACAGUCUAAACGUCGUCGAUAUAUGGAAGAAGAAUAUGAGGCAGAAUUUCAAGUAAAGAUUACAGCCAAAGGAGACAUUAACCAGAAACUUCAAAAGGUUAUACAGUGGUUGCUGGAAGAAAAAUUGUGUGCGCUGCAGUGUGCUGUAUUUGAUAAGACUUUGGCAGAAUUGAAAACACGAGUGGAAAAGAUUGAAUGUAACAAGAGGCAUAAAACAGUUCUCACUGAACUACAGGCCAAGAUAGCCAGGUUAACCAAACGCUUUGAAGCAGCCAAAGAAGAUCUUAAGAAAAGACAUGAACAUCCACCCAACCCACCAGUAUCACCAGGAAAAACUGUAAAUGAUGUCAACAGCAAUAAUAACAUGUCUUACAGAAAUGCAGGCACAGUGAGACAGAUGCUGGAGUCCAAAAGAAAUGUAAGCGAGAGUGCACCACCAUCCUUUCAAACUCCUGUGAAUACAGUAUCUUCAACCAAUCUUGUCACUCCUCCAGCAGUUGUCAGUAGUCAACCUAAAUUGCAGACUCCAGUGACUUCGGGUUCCCUCACAGCAACGUCAGUUCUUCCUGCACCCAAUACAGCUACUGUAGUUGCUACUACUCAGGUGCCUAGUGGAAAUCCCCAGCCUACAAUCUCUUUACAGCCUUUGCCAGUGAUUUUGCAUGUACCUGUUGCAGUAUCCUCCCAGCCUCAGCUUCUACAGAGCCAUCCAGGGACUUUGGUGACUAAUCAACCAUCUGGCAAUGUUGAAUUCAUUUCUGUGCAAAGCCCACCUACAGUGAGUGGUCUUACCAAAAAUCCAGUAUCCUUGCCAUCCUUGCCAAAUCCCACUAAACCAAACAACGUUCCUUCUGUGCCCAGUCCUAGUAUUCAAAGGAACCCUACUGCCAGUGCUGCACCAUUGGGAACAACACUUGCUGUGCAGGCUGUUCCAACGGCACACUCUAUUGUACAAGCCACAAGGACUUCUUUACCCACAGUGGGCCCAUCAGGACUCUAUAGUCCAUCAACUAAUCGAGGUCCUAUACAGAUGAAAAUUCCAAUUUCUGCAUUUAGUACUUCGUCUGCUGCAGAACAGAACAGCAAUACCACCCCAAGAAUUGAAAACCAGACAAACAAAACAAUAGAUGCUUCUGUCAGUAAGAAAGCAGCUGAUAGCACAUCACAGAGUGGGAAAGCCACUGGCAGUGAUUCAAGUGGUGUCAUUGAUCUCACAAUGGAUGAUGAAGAGAGUGGAGCUUCACAAGGUACUUCAAUAGUAAUUGUACUAAGCAACGUUUUGAUACCAUUUUUUUUGUCUUAAUACAGUACAGUAUUCUACAAAGACAGAUGUUUACGGCAUUAUGCUUGGUUUAUUUGUGUUCUUUUUGGAAUGGAAGUUUUUUAGAUUAGAAUUUUAAAAUUUGGCCAGGUGCAGUGUCUCACACCUGUAAUCCCAGUGCUUUGGGAGGCCAAGGCAGGAGGAUCGAGGCAAGAGGUCAGGAGUUUGAGACCAGCCCGGGCAAUGCGGUGAAACCCCGUCUCUAUAAAAAAUUUAAAAAUUAGCUGGGUGUGAUGGCAUGUGUCUGUGGUCCCAGCUGCAUGGGAGGCUGAGGCAGGAGGAUAGCUUGAGCCUGGGAGGUUGAGGCUGCCGUGAGCUGUGUUUAUGCCACUGCAUUCCAUCCUGGGUGACAGAAUGAGGCCCUGUCUCAAAAAAAAAAAAAA